UACGUAGUUUGACUCCGUGGCUCAGGACGAACGCUGGCGGCGUGCCUAACACAUGCAAGUCGAACGAUGAAGUUAUGACGGAGGCUUCGGCCGACAGAAUAAUGGAAUAGUGGCGGACGGGUGAGUAACGCGUGAGUAACCUGCCUUUCAGAGAGGAAUAACAUUUGGAAACGAAUGGUAAUACCACAUAACAUUACGUUCUCGCAUGGGGAUGUAAUCAAAGAUUUUAUCGCUGAGAGAUGGACUCGCGUCCGAUUAGCUAGAUGGUGAGGUAACGGCCCACCAUGGCGACGAUCGGUAGCCGGACUGAGAGGUUGAACGGCCACAUUGGGACUGAGACACGGCCCAGACUCCUACGGGAGGCAGCAGUGGGGAAUAUUGCACAAUGGGGGAAACCCUGAUGCAGCAACGCCGCGUGAAGGAAGACGGUCUUCGGAUUGUAAACUUUUGUUCUUGGUGAAGAAAAAUGACGGUAGCCAAGGAGGAAGCCACGGCUAACUACGUG
rnacentral:rRNA from 1 species